UUGUUAUAAGAAAACUGCAUGAUAUACUUGGAUAAUAAUCUAUUGGGCGUUCUACUCACUUGGAACGGGAACGUUUAUGUUGAAUGUUUGAAUGGUAAAAUUUGCUGAGACAAAAUCUGCAUACGGCCGCACUGGUCACCACUUAAAUACAAGAAUUAUUGUAUGUACUUCUCUGUCUUGGUAGAAAUCGCGCGCCAGUCUAGUCAUCCAUAGAGGCUGGCACAAAGUGCAUAACGAGCGGCCAGUUAGAAGACGGAAAUAGUGGGCGUCACAUAUUCAAUUGUUUGUUUACAUUGGUGCUCAUGCCGGCGACUGUCUUUGUUUUUGUUCGACUAAAUUAUUACUGAAAAGUGUAAAAUAAACCAAUUGUGCCUGCCGCUCACGCGUCUUUUGGACUUAAAGUAAAUGAAAUGCUCGGCUAGAAUACAGAGUGAUCUGGUCGGCAUUCGCAAUAAUAGUUUUCCCAUUAUCUUUAACACCGAUCGGUUUCAGGCGGAAACUAUUGUCACCUAGAGUAUCAAUAAUUUGGUAAAUAGUACUCGACCGUUUCGCCGCGAGGCCUGCUGAGAAUUUAGUUGCUGCGUUUGAUAAUGGGUGAAUAUCAAGAAGGACCAAAUUUCCAAUUUGAAAAUGGCUUUAUCCGUUGACAAGUUUCGCAUGAGCGAACCCAGUCAUGGACAUCGUCCCGCAUUCCUCUCCACCAAAAAGUAUUUGAAAUGCGCUGGGCUGUUUUUUGAACACCAAAGUGACCACCAACAAGUGAAUCAUGGCAGAUCUGCAAAACAGCUUUCCUCAUGUGAUCAGGAAAGUCCCUGAGGAUGGCUCUGGAGAUUUCGGUUGAGAAAACGUCAGCGGCGCUCUGUUGGAGCAGCGACUGCAGUGAUGGCCAUUCAAUCCUACUUCACAGGUGUCGAAACGCAACUUGGCCUCCCUGUGCUCAUGAAGUGGAAUUUCGCGUUCUCGCCAAUCCUCCUCUGCUUUUAUUGGUACCGCAGUCUCGUCUGGCGCUCUACUGAGAGCAUCAGCAAGCUGAUUUGAUUUUCCUCGCCGGUCUCAAAGGGGCUUGGAAAGGUGGUCCAUCCUGCACUUUGAGGACUUGCUCUACACCUUUGGCGAGGCCAGGCUUUUCUGAAAAGACGCCCUUGGUGUAGAAAUCUGCCACUACCUUUUUUAUGAGGCCACCAGUGUCAUUCUCUAUCCUGCUAAGACUGUACUGGACGAAUGGGUGCUCAACUAAAGGGUUGUCUGUCUUAAACCAACCUGUUGGCGUGACUGCCAUCUUUGCCUGACAGAGGAAAUCGCGUCCCAAUAAGAUUUGAUCUGAAUUGUCAGGAACUGCGAAGAAAUUCUGCACAAAACUCCCUGCAGGAGUGUGAAUCUUGAUAGACAUUCCGCCAAGUAGGUCAGUUAAUCCAUUCACCAUUUUUAUCUUUUUAUUUGUGUGCCACACUGUUGCAUUUUUGCCUUUGAACUUUUCAAAAGUAGCCUGUCCCAAUAUACAAAUAUCUGAUCCUGUGUCUAAAAGAGCUAAAUAACUUCUCCCUAAUAUGCGUACUUUAAUAACUGGUUUGAUGGCAGCUAAUUGUUGAUUUGAUUCAGAUUGCAUGUGUCUCUGUAAAACUGCCUUUUGUAGUUUUCUGUUAAUUUGGUCCUUACGCACGCGCGGAGAAAUUUUUCCAUUAUGGGGCCUAGAUUUUUCUGUUCUUUCAGUUUGCACAGGAGUUGAGACAGGCUCGCUGAUUAGUUUUUUGAAUUCUCAUCUGCAAUUUCAGGUUCAGAAUUUUCCUCAGCAGCGAAAGUCUGUUCAUGAGUGGCACCAUACUCAUCAAAUGGAUGGUUUCCCCUGACUUGUGCGCUUAUUCAGGUCAUUUUGUCUUGUGGCUGCUGCGCCAGGUGGGCCAUUUGAUUUCCAUGGCAAAGCCAGCUGUCCACGACCUGCGGCACCCUGGACUGCAGGACGUUGUGGCUGGUUAAUGGCGCGAGGUUGGAAACCUCCUCUGGCGGGUUGUCCCUGAUACCAAGGACGAGGGCCAGGGUGAGGCCCCCUGCCAAGUCUGGGGUUUAGAGAAUUUAGAGUGACCUGCUGACUCAUGGAUUGACUGCCAGGGCGGCCAUGCGCCUGGACCAAUGGUGUUUGAGGCGUCUUUCUGACUUGGUAAGCGAACGCAGGCUCUGCAAACUCGGCCGCUGGUGGCGGAAGCCGGUAAGUGCGAGAUCUGUAUAUUUCAGCUUGGACCAAUUUGAGUGUCUCAUCAAGGUCAGCAAUUGUUGCAAAUGUCCUACCGACAAUAAAUCGCCGAUAUUCAGGGUGAAGCAAAGAAAUUGCCUUUUUAAUGAUUUCCCCUUCUCCGUAAUUGGAAUCAAUCUGUUUGCACAUUAAGUAUAUCUUGUGCAAGAAUACGGAAGGAGGCUCGUCAGCAUGCUGGAAUCUUUUUUCCAGAUCCCUUGCAAGCUGCUCUUUAUAAUUUGGUGCACAAUAUUCUUGCAUGAACGCGCUCUCAAAUUGUUCCCAUGUCUGGAAUAUUUCUCCAUAUAUGGCGAACCAAUUUGCUGCUUCUUCAACAAGUGCUGUUGGCAGGCGGUAUUUUACCAUUUCAAUCAGGGAAAUUCCAUGUGCCACAGAUAUCAAUUUAAUUUGUCUCACAUAUUCAUACGGGGAUUUUUUAUCUGUUCGACCCGAGAAUGUUGGCACCGGAAUUUUCGCCAGCUUGUACAA